GAUGAACGCUGGCGGCGUGCCUAAUACAUGCAAGUCGAGCGAGAUGUUAGCGCAUGAACCUUCGGGGGAUUAUGCUAACGGACAGCGGCGGACGGGUGAGUAACGCGUAGGCAACCUGCCCCUGACAGAGGGAUAGCCAUUGGAAACGAUGAUUAAAACCUCAUGACACCGUAGAAGCACAUGCUUCAUCGGUCAAAGAUUUAUCGGUCAGGGAUGGGCCUGCGUCUGAUUAACUAGUUGGUGAGGUAACGGCUCACCAAGGUGACGAUCAGUAGCCGACCUGAGAGGGUGAUCGGCCACAUUGGAACUGAGACACGGUCCAAACUUCUACGGAAGGCAGCAGUAGGGAAUCUUGCACAAUGGGCGAAAGCCUGAUGCAGCAACGCCGCGUGAAGGAUGAAGGCCUUCGGGUUGUAAACUUCUGUUCUAAGGGAAGAAACAAAUGACGGUACCUUAGGAGCAAGCCCCGGCUAACUACGUGCCAGCAGCCGCGGUAAUACGUAGGGGGCAAGCGUUAUCCGGAAUUAUUGGGCGUAAAGAGUGCGUAGGUGGUUACCUAAGCGCAAGGUUUAAUUUAGAGGCUCAACCUCUACUUGCCUUGCGAACUGGGCUACUUGAGUGCAGGAGGGGAAAGCGGAAUUCCUAGUGUAGCGGUGAAAUGCGUAGAUAUUAGGAGGAACACCAGCGGCGAAGGCGGCUUUCUGGACUGUAACUGACACUGAGGCACGAAAGCGUGGGUAGCAAACAGGAUUAGAUACCCUGGUAGUCCACGCCGUAAACGAUGAGCACUAGGUGUUGGGCCCGUUAGGGCUCAGUGCCGCAGUUAACGCAAUAAGUGCUCCGCCUGGGGAGUACGCUCGCAAGAGUAAAACUCAAAGGAAUUGACGGGGACCCGCACAAGCAGCGGAGCAUGUGGUUUAAUUCGAAGCAACGCGAAGAACCUUACCAGGGCUUGACAUCCUG
rnacentral:rRNA from 1 species